rnacentral:rRNA from 1 species
GACAGAGGGUGCAAACGUUGUUCGGAAUUACUAGGCGUAAAGCGCGUGUAGGCUGCUUCGCAAGUCGGAUGUGAAAGCCCGGAAGCUCAACUCCGGAACUGCCAUUGAAACUGUGAGACUGGAGUACGAGAGAGGUGAGUGGAAUUCCCAGUGUAGAGGUGAAAUUCGUAGAUAUUGGGAAGAACACCGGUGGCGAAGGCGGCUCACUGGCUCGUAACUGACGCUCAGCGCGACAGCGUGGGGAGUCAAACAGG